UUUCCGUAGGUGAACCUGCGGAAGGAUCAUUACCGAGUGAGGGCCCUCUGGGUCCAACCUCCCACCCGUGUUUAUCGUACCUUGUUGCUUCGGCGGGCCCGCCUCACGGCCGCCGGGGGGCACCCGCCCCCGGGCCCGCGCCCGCCGAAGACACCAUUGAACGCUGUCUGAAGAUUGCAGUCUGAGCAUCUUAACUAAAUCAGUUAAAACUUUCAACAACGGAUCUCUUGGUUCCG
rnacentral:misc_RNA from 1 species